AUUGAACGCUGGCGGCAUGCCUUACACAUGCAAGUCGAACGGUAACAGGUCUUCGGAUGCUGACGAGUGGCGAACGGGUGAGUAAUACAUCGGAACGUGCCCGAUCGUGGGGGAUAACGGAGCGAAAGCUUUGCUAAUACCGCAUAAGAUCUACGGAUGAAAGCAGGGGACCGCAAGGCCUUGCGCGAACGGAGCGGCCGAUGGCAGAUUAGGUAGUUGGUGGGAUAAAAGCUUACCAAGCCGACGAUCUGUAGCUGGUCUGAGAGGACGACCAGCCACACUGGGACUGAGACACGGCCCAGACUCCUACGGGAGGCAGCAGUGGGGAAUUUUGGACAAUGGGCGCAAGCCUGAUCCAGCCAUGCCGCGUGCAGGAUGAAGGCCUUCGGGUUGUAAACUGCUUUUGUACGGAACGAAAAGACUCUUUCUAAUAAAGAGAGUCCAUGACGGUACCGUAAGAAUAAGCACCGGCUAACUACGUGCCAGCAGCCGCAGUAAAAC
rnacentral:rRNA from 1 species